rnacentral:rRNA from 1 species
GACGAACGCUGGCGGCGUGCUUAACACAUGCAAGUCGAACGGAAAGGCCCUGCUUUUGUGGGGUGCUCGAGUGGCGAACGGGUGAGUAACACGUGAGUAACCUGCCCUUGACUUUGGGAUAACUUCAGGAAACUUGGGCUAAUACCGGAUAGGAGCUCCUGCUGCAUGGUGGGGGUUGGAAAGUUUCGGCGGUUGGGGAUGGACUCGCGGCUUAUCAGCUUGUUGGUGGGGUAGUGGCUUACCUAGGCUUUGACGGGUAGCCGGCCUGAGAGGGUGACCGGCCACAUUGGGACUGAGAUACGGACCAGACUCCUACGGGGGGCAGCAGUGGGGAAUAUUGCACAAUGGGCGGAAGCCUGAUGCAGCAACGCCGCGUGCGGGAUGACGGCCUUCGGGUUGUAAACCGCUUUCGCCUGUGACGAAGCGUGAGUGACGGUAAUGGGUAAAGAAGCACCGGCUAACUACGUG